rnacentral:rRNA from 1 species
CUACGGGCGGCAGCAGUGAGGAAUAUUGUACAAUGGGGGGAACCCUGAUGCAGCAACGCCGCGUGGAGGAUGACGCAUUUCGGUGUGUAAACUCCUUUUAUAUGUCAAGAAAAUGACGGUAGCAUAUGAAUAAGCACCGGCUAACUCCGUGCCAGCAGCCGCGGUAAUACGGAGGGUGCAAGCGUUACUCGGAAUCACUGGGCGUAAAGGACGCGUAGGCGGGUUGGAAAGUCAGGUGUGAAAUCCUACAGCUUAACUGUAGAACUGCACUUGAAACUUCUAAUCUAGAGUAUGGGAGGGGGAGAUGGAAUUAGUGGUGCAGGGGUAAAAUCCGUAGAUAUCACUAGGAAUACCUAAAGCGAAGGCGAUCUCCUGGAACAUUACUGACGCUAAGGCGUGAAAGCGUGGGGAGCAAACAGGAUUAGAUACCCUAGUAGUC